rnacentral:rRNA from 1 species
UACGUAGGGGGCAAGCGUUGUUCGGAAUUACUGGGCGUAAAGGGCUCGUAGGUGGUCAACUAAGUCGGACGUGAAAUCCCUCGGCUUAACCGGGGAACUGCGUCCGAUACUGGAUGACUUGAGUUCGGGAGAGGGAUGCGGAAUUCCAGGUGUAGCGGUGAAAUGCGUAGAUAUCUGGAGGAACACCGGUGGCGAAGGCGGCAUCCUGGACCGACACUGACGCUGAGGAGCGAAAGCCAGGGGAGCAAACGGG